UUUUAAAAAUACUAUUUUAUUUAUACCCAUGUAUGAAAAAAUGGCUAAAACUAUCACAUUUAUAUACAUACUGAAAACAGGAUUCAGUAACAAGUCAUAUUUAAAUUCUAUAAAGAACAUUCAUUAAAACACUGAUUGGUUAUAGAGAGCAGAGUAGGAAGAAAAGAGUAAGCUAUAAUUUUCCUUUUCAUUAAAGAGAAGCACCCUCUGAAAAAACUCAUUAGUGUCACAUAUCUACACUGCAAAGUAAAUAUAUAUAAAUAUGUAUAUAAAGUUA